GGAGGUCGGCCCUCCGGUCAGGGCGUACAGGCGCACUGACCAAACGACCCGAUGCUGCGAGCAUGUUCAGCAUGCUGGUGGUGAGCGAUUCGGGUAAAGGCAGAGAAACUACUGUCACG
rnacentral:ncRNA from 1 species